rnacentral:rRNA from 1 species
GAUGAACGCUGGCGGCGUGCCUAAUACAUGCAAGUCGAGCGAACAGACGAGGAGCUUGCUCCUCUGACGUUAGCGGCGGACGGGUGAGUAACACGUGGAUAACCUACCUAUAAGACUGGGAUAACUUCGGGAAACCGGAGCUAAUACCGGAUAAUAUAUUGAACCGCAUGGUUCAAUAGUGAAAGACGGUUCUGCUGUCACUUAUAGAUGGAUCCGCGCCGCAUUAGCUAGUUGGUAAGGUAACGGCUUACCAAGGCAACGAUGCGUAGCCGACCUGAGAGGGUGAUCGGCCACACUGGAACUGAGACACGGUCCAGACUCCUACGGGAGGCAGCAGUAGGGAAUCUUCCGCAAAGGGCGAAAGCCUGACGGAGCAACGCCGCGUGAGUGAUGAAGGUCUUCGGAUCGUAAAACUCUGUUAUUAGGGAAGAACAAAUGUGUAAGUAACUAUGCACGUCUUGACGGUACCUAAUCAGAAAGCCACGGCUAACUACGUG